GUAGGUUUAAGUUUAUUAGACAAGUACAUAUACACCAACAAGACAGUGUACAAGCAUUGUCACAAGAAAGUUUGUUUUCAUUCAUAGGCUUCAUUGUCUUUCCAUCAAUACCUGACGCUGUAGGUGCCCCUUCAACGUUAUUUAUUUAUUUAUUUAUUAUAGCCCACCCCACAAUCUUUCCCUAAACCAAAGUUCAGUCAGGACCACUUUUGUCAAAAUAACUUUUAUUCCAAAGCAGAAUAUUACAUUUGGCGGUAUUGCUCUGCUCUGCUCUGGGAUCUCCUUGCCUUUCUCUUAGGCAAAACCUAAUCUCUGGAAAACCUAAGGGAGCACACCUCCCUGCCCUACCAUGUGCGUACAUGGAAAAGUUUAAGACAAGGAGAGUGGCAGCAGAGACCCCCCAGGGUACAGAACAGAGCAAGCAUCAAUGGCAAUCAGAAAAUGACAUUGAUUAAUUAGAUACAACAUAAAAAGGAGGAGCUGGGGUAGAAGUGGGUUGCAAAAAGGCUUGUAGAGGAAGCAGCAAAGAUAGGCAGGCUAAAGCAGCUUAAAUAAGGCGCCAUAAAUGAUAUUUGCCAAUUGGAUGCUUGAGGGAAUCAGCUGAGCUGUCAGCUGACUGUGUAUGGUUUCCAAUAGGAAGCUUAGGAGGAAUCAGCUGAGCCAUCAGCUGAUUUGUGUUUAUGACUAGCUGUGAUCAUAUGAUAUAGCUGGAAUUGUAAUAUUCUUAUUUGUGAUAAGAUUGUAUGUACACUGUACUCUCUUUUUAUUGCACUAUAUUCCCCAACGCUGCUGUGUGUAACUUGAAUUUCUCCUACAGGGGAUUAAUAAAGGUAUAGAGUAUCUUAUCUUAUCUUAUUGCUAAUGUGAGGGAAACUUGCUUCAUUUGUUAUUGCUAACAUGAAUUCAAAGCGCUGCAUGUCCAGAAAAAACACUAGAUGGGUAUCUAUAGCAUCAUGGUUUAUAGCAUGAGGCCACUGACCAAGUGGCCAUAUUUGAGUUGGGAGAGAAAGCGUAGCAUUAGAAAAGUUUGACAUAUUGGGUUUAUGCUGUUGAUUUGAAUGCAUGAAUGAAUUAAAAUAGAAACACAGUGACAAGAUAUUCUCAUGAGUUUCCACAGUUGCUUGGCUGCUGCCAUUGUCAACCAGAACAUAAAUAUGACUUAGUUAUAAUAGUUCUGAAUAGGAGAGUAUAAUAAUAGUAUCUCUAUUCAAGUAAAUGUGUCAUUUUUGUGUUUAAGCAUAAAGUAAAAUAGUUAUAAUAUUGAUCAAAUCUAUUAUACAAGCUUUGUGAAGGACUUCUGGUUUGUCAUUUGCCUUUUCAGGCUCUUUAAUCAGUCACAGAGGAUCCUCUCUAUGGACUGGCUGAGCCCUGCUUUGCAGAGUGUGGACUGCAUACUUACAUUAGUGCAAAGAGUUGUGAAAAAUGUGUUCAGGGUAAACAUGACCCAAAAGCAGACUCUCUAGAGAUGCCCACACAGUUUCCAUGGCAACACAAAAAGAAAAAAGGGAAAAAAAGGAAUCUUUGACUGAGGAGUUACCUGACAGGGGAACCAAGACAGAGUGAAGGGAGGAAAGAAGCACAGCACAAGCAUCAACUUUUAAACCAAUCCAGUGUGUUUUCAGUGGACCUGGACUUUUAAAAACAUUAAUAAAAAAUGAGCUGCGAGGAGCUGAUCACAGUUGAAUGAUUGUUCACUUCAUUUCACUGACCUCUUACACUGAGGAUUGUAGCGACAUGUGUAUGUGUGUGUGUGUGUGUGUGUGUGUGUGUGUGUGUGUGUGUGUGUGUGUGUGUGUGUGUGAGAAUAA